AUUGAACGCUGGCGGCAGGCCUAACACAUGCAAGUCGAGCGGAUGAAGGGAGCUUGCUCCUGGAUUCAGCGGCGGACGGGUGAGUAAUGCCUAGGAAUCUGCCUGGUAGUGGGGGAUAACGUCCGGAAACGGGCGCUAAUACCGCAUACGUCCUGAGGGAGAAAGUGGGGGAUCUUCGGACCUCACGCUAUCAGAUGAGCCUAGGUCGGAUUAGCUAGUUGGUGGGGUAAAGGCCUACCAAGGCGACGAUCCGUAACUGGUCUGAGAGGAUGAUCAGUCACACUGGAACUGAGACACGGUCCAGACUCCUACGGGAGGUAGCAGUGGGGAAUAUUGGACAAUGGGCGAAAGCCUGAUCCAGCCAUGCCGCGUGUGUGAAGAAGGUCUUCGGAUUGUAAAGCGCUUUAAGUUGGGAGGAAGGGCAGUAAGUUAAUACCUUGCUGUUUUGACGUUACCAACAGAAUAAGCACCGGCUAACUUCGUG
rnacentral:rRNA from 1 species